GAUGAACGCUGGCGGCGUGCCUAAUACAUGCAAGUCGAGCGAACAGACGAGGAGCUUGCUCCUCUGACGUUAGCGGCGGACGGGUGAGUAACACGUGGAUAACCUACCUAUAAGACUGGGAUAACUUCGGGAAACCGGAGCUAAUACCGGAUAAUAUAUUGAACCGCAUGGUUCAAUAGUGAAAGACGGUUUUGCUGUCACUUAUAGAUGGAUCCGCGCCGCAUUAGCUAGUUGGUAAGGUAACGGCUUACCAAGGCAACGAUGCGUAGCCGACCUGAGAGGGUGAUCGGCCACACUGGAACUGAGACACGGUCCAGACUCCUACGGGAGGCAGCAGUAGGGAAUCUUCCGCAAUGGGCGAAAGCCUGACGGAGCAACGCCGCGUGAGUGAUGAAGGUCUUCGGAUCGUAAAACUCUGUUAUUAGGGAAGAACAAAUGUGUAAGUAACUAUGCACGUCUUGACGGUACCUAAUCAGAAAGCCACGGCUAACUAUGU
rnacentral:rRNA from 1 species